GACGAACCGAGCGAACGUUGUUCGGAAUCACUGGGCUUAAAGGGCGCGUAGGCGGGCUGCCGCGUCCGGGGUGAAAUCCCACGGCUCAACCGUGGAACGGCCCCGGGUACGGGCGGCCUCGAGGGGGGUAGGGGCGUGCGGAACUGUGGGUGGAGCGGUGAAAUGCGUUGAUAUCCACAGGAACUCCGGUGGCGAAGGCGGCACGCUGGACCCCCACUGACGCUGAGGCGCGAAAGCCAGGGGAGCAAACGGG
rnacentral:rRNA from 1 species